AUUCCAGCUCCAAUAGCGUAUAUUAAAGUUGUUGCGGUUAAAGAGCUCGUAGUUGAACCUUGGGCCUGGCCGAUCUGUCUUCCUAACCGUUGUACGGAGUCGGUCGGGCCUUUCCUUCUGGGGAACCUCAUGCCCUUUAUUGGGCGUGCUGGGGAACCAGGACUUUUACCUUGAAAAAAUUAGAGUAUUCAAAGCAGGCCUUUGCUCGAAUACAUUAGCAUGGAAUAAUGGAAUAGGACAGCAGUUCUAUAUUGUUGGUUUCUAGGACCGCUGUAAUGAUUAAUAGGGAUAGUCGGGGGCGUCAGUAUUCAAUUGUCAGAGGUGAAAUUCUUGGAUUUAUUGAAGACUAACUAUUGCGAAAGCAUUCGCCAAGGAUGUUUUCAUCG
rnacentral:rRNA from 1 species